UACGGUUAUACCUGAAAAAAUUAUCCGGAAAAAAUUACCCACAUUUUUUAAAAAACUACUAGUCAUCUGGUGAGGACAUUGGCAUUAUUCCCUCGAAGCGAGCCCUCCCGACCUGGGCAGCAGUAGCGGAGCAUACGCGCCAAGAGUGCCAGUUCUGGCGAGCGGCGAGCCAAGCCGUCGCCUCGCCUAAGAAAAUAUAUUAGAAGACCUUAACCGACAUAGUUAAAAAUAUAUUAGAAGACGCUCUAAAAAAAUUAGUAACGGUUAUUCUCGUUAGUUAUUUCUUAAACAUAGUUAAAAAUAUCAAAAUUAAAAAAAAAAGAGAAACAAGAGCAUCAUUUGUAUCUUUCCUUUAGUCUUAGUCUUAGCCAGCAAUCCUGAUUCACUACGUCUACAAGUUCAGGGUUAAAAAUAGAUUUUUCUCAAAAUAAUUGGGUGCAAAACUAUGGAGGCCUUGAUGUCGAUUGAUAGGAUCGAGCAGUGCGCGUCCUGUUCUCUUCAUGUUUAUGGUUUAUAAGUUCCUAUUUAUCCUUAGGGACUUUAUUUAUAUUUACGAGAUUGUACAAAAAACAAACAGAGAGAGCAUGUGCAAUAAAAAAGGAUCUGUGGAGUCUCCAAAACAGUUGGAGACGAGGCCCACGAAUCAAGACGACAUUUUUGCUUGCUUGCUUUCCAGUUUCCACAC
rnacentral:lncRNA from 1 species